AAAUACACUUUUUGUUUAUUAAAAAUAAAGUUAAUAAUAAAUAUUAUGGGUUGAGAUUAUUUUAUAAGGGUUGGGUGCAUAGAAUAAUUUCCAUUGUUUUGUUUACCCAAAAUUGCCAUAUGCUCAAUUUGACAUCCUUUUUCUCUCCUAGCUUUUUAUAUCCAUCUCUUUUCUGCUACUCUCUUUCUUUUGCAAUAAAAUAUGAUACACUGUUUCUAAGUGGGAGUUCUCAUAAGCUAUUGCAGCAGUGGCAGAAUCUCCAGACUGCACAAAUCUCAGCUCUUUCCUCCAUAACCAUCACAAGUUCAGAACACACAGAAAUCUCCAGACUCUGCAAAACCCCUGUUUAACAAAUUGUACACCAAAAUCAACAACAUUCUUGGCAACUAUUCAAUCCAUAUGAGCAAACCAUGUUGGGUCUGAGAGAUAUCCUCCUGAUUGCUCCAAACCAUUCUUCUGUGCACCAACAAAACCAACCCAUUUCCUCUGACCACCCAACUCUUCCUCUUCCUUCCUCCACAGCUCUUGGGGUUGGCCUCGGCAUUUUCCCUCUCCUCACUGCAACCCCAUGUAGCCAAAAUGCUCCGACCGCCGAGGGCAAUCCGGACAAUUCACGUUUCUGGAGCCUGAGAACGUACCCGGAGCUGAAUUCUUCCAAGCAUGACAUGCUCAGUUUUGGGAAUCACGGCGGCGCCGAAAGUCAACAGGUGGUGGAAUCCGAUGACGGAAAUGUGAACGGAGAAGGUGGUGGUCGUGGUGAAGACAGUGGCAUGAGGGCUUGCAAGGACUGUGGGAACAGAGCCAAGAAAGGCUGCGAGUAUUCAAGGUGCAGGACUUGUUGCAGAGGCAGGGGAUAUGACUGCUCCACUCACGUGAGGAGCACGUGGGUUCCGGCAGCGAGGCGGCGGGAAAGGCAGAUGGGUGUGACCGUUGCUGUUGCUGGUGGUGUUGCUAGUGGCGGCGGCGGUGAAGGUUCUUCCGGUUCUUCUUCCGUUGCCAAAAGACCAAGAGUAAUGAUGCCAUCAAAGAAUGCAAAUGCAAAUCUCAGACAGUCAUUACCAGAUCAAGUUCGGGCGCCAGCUGUUUUUAAGUGCCAUAGAGUCACUGCCGUUAGCAAUGGUGAAGCCGAGAUUGCUUACCAGGCUACUGUGAAAAUCAGUGGUCAUGUAUUCAAGGGGUUGCUCUAUGAUCGUGGGGUUGAUAAGAAGAAUGAAUACCCUUGUAUUUCACAUAUGCUUUUGGGAAGUGGUAGUAACCAAAGGAAUGGAGACUCUUCUUCUCCAACUGUGCCUCCAUCCAAUGUCUGUGUGGCGUCCACCAGCUGAAGGUUGUUUAGAGAGAUAGGGAGGUUUGCAUUGCAACUCUUGUGGAAUUAUCAUAUGGGCUGUUAGUGUAGUGUAAGAGUGCUAAAAUAAUGUUGGUGUUACAAACAUUGCAGAUAGCCAGAUAUUAAAUGUGAUUAUACACGUUUGUAGUGUAUAAGGGAGGUUUGCAUUGCAACUCUUGUGGAAUUAUCAUAUGGGCUGUUAGUGUAGUAUAGCCAGAUAUUAAAUGUGAUUAUACACGUUGAUGCUUGGAAGCGCCAAGAACUAUAUCAUAGAGUCUGCUACAGUAUAGAUUGCAGAUAUGGUUUCGCCGAGCACCCAGAAGCCUGGUUUGGAGCUCUUAACAUAUUGUUAAUUUAGUUAUCUUUUCAUGUAACUGAACACCAUUUUGAAUAAUUAUCAAACUAGGACACGAAAGCGUUGGAUCAGAAUAGAUGUAAGAAUGUGAAUAUGUGGCCAUCUAUCAAAAUAUAUGGAUCUUCUCUCA